rnacentral:rRNA from 1 species
CACUCCUGCGGGAGGCAGCAGUGGGGAAUUUUGGACAAUGGGCGAAAGCCUGAUCCAGCAAUGCCGCGUGAGUGAAGAAGGCCUUCGGGUUGUAAAGCUCUUUUGUCAGGGAAGAAACGGUGAAAGCUAAUAUCUUUUGCUAAUGACGGUACCUGAAGAAUAAGCACCGGCUAACUACGUGCCAGCAGCCGCGGUAAUACGUAGGGUGCAAGCGUUAAUCGGAAUUACUGGGCGUAAAGCGUGCGCAGGCGGUUUUGUAAGUCUGAUGUGAAAUCCCCGGGCUCAACCUGGGAAUUGCAUUGGAGACUGCAAGGCUAGAAUCUGGCAGAGGGGGGUAGAAUUCCACGUGUAGCAGUGAAAUGCGUAGAUAUGUGGAGGAACACCGAUGGCGAAGGCAGCCCCCUGGGUCAAGAUUGACGCUCAUGCACGAAAGCGUGGGGAGCAAACAGGAUUAGAAACCCUUGUAGUCCCAUGAU